ensembl:lncRNA novel transcript
CCCUAUCUCUAUAUAUUUUUAAAAUAGAAGACAGGGUCUCACUAUGUUGCCCAGGCUGAAUUUGAACUCCCAGUCUCAUCAGAUCCUCCUGCCUUAGUCUUCCGAGUAGCUGAAACUACAGGCACACACCACCCCUCUCAGCUGAAAACACCCCAUUUCUAAUGCCAAGCUUUACUCUUCACAGAAUAUGGAUAUGGUGGGGAAAGACAGGAAGCCCCAUUCCUUUAAGACACUUUGAUUCACCUUCACAAGUUUCCCCAGACCAAUACUUGAUUUAUAUAUCCUUUUUCUUGGUGCUCCAAAGGUUUUUACACCCUAAAAUAAUUCAUCAUAAUAAAAUUUGGCUUGGGGUAGGGACAUGCCUUUCUGUUGUAAACUGGGAGGGUUGUUGUCAGCACAACUGUUGUGAGCACAGGUCAUUCUCAGGCAGAACAGUUUUGGGACUGAGUACAUAAGGAAGUUCAGGGUCUGGAGAUGGAUUCCCUUAAAGCCAUCUGGACAAACAUAGUCCUUGGAAAGCCUUUUUGUGCUACUACUGUUUGAAGGCUGCUGCGCAGAGGUUCCCUGAAGGUGCCUCAGGGGUUCUGUUUGAGAAUGAGGUGAAGGCGAGGGGUUUCUGGGCCCACCCCCACUGUUUCAUCUGGAGCAGCUGGGCUUUUUUUUUUUUUUUUUUCUGUUUUACAUGUACAUUUUCAUUUGAAGGAAUGGUUUUGCUGCUAAAAAUAACAGUGUGAAAAACAUAGCCUCCAAGGGGGACCAUUUAAAGAUUUUAAGCAGUGAUGUGACAUAAUUAGGUUUUUGUUUCAAAAGGUCGCUUUGACACCUGAACACAUCGUGGAGGCUGGACUGGAGGGAAGUGAGACUGGAGAGACCCAGAGAGAAGGCAGAGCAAGAACUGGCUACUCUGGGCUCCAUCCCAGGGUCAGCAUCCACUUUAGAUGGCGCCGGGGUUCACGGCUUGCCAGUCUCCACCUAGCUGCUUCUCCCAUUCAUAUUUCCUGCCUGGCCCAUGACCACCUUUGCCUUUGCAACCCCUGCCUUUGACUGUUUUUCGUCUUGUAUAUCCAGUCGGCCACCAAAUUCUGUUGUUUCUUCCCUCAGAUUACCUCAGAUUUGUUCCUCUCUCCAUUACUAUCCCAUCAUCCUAGAUUAGACACUUCAGGCUUGGGUUUCUCCAGGAACCUCUUCACGGUUCUUCUUGCUUUCAGUCUGUCUGCCCACCAAUCUUACAUCGCCACUGCUUAGCUUCUCUUGGUUCUUCAUGACAUAUUGCAGUACAGUUUUGUACAUUUUUGUUUCAGAUUUCUCCUCUUCUUCCCAGUCUUUGGCUUCUGUAGAAAAUUCUAAGCAGAGCAGAAGAUUAAAAUAGUGACUAGUGCAUUUCCAGUCUCUAGAAGCAGUGAUAACCAUGUUUCCUUUGCCUCUUUUUAUGCCAGAUAUUUGUAGAGUUAGCAGGACUUAAAAGGCAAGGGGACACCUUUCCCUCUUGCCACUUGCCUCUUGCCACUUUUUCCUCAGUGAAAGAUUUUGUGAAGAAGUGGAAUUUCAAGUUGAGUGGGUAAGAUUAUUUCAGGGAAUAUUAUAUUUGAGACUUCAUGCUAUCGGAUGCUCCCAAAGGGUGGUAAAUAACUACUGGGGUUGGUAAUAAUGAUGAAGGGUGGUAAUAGGAAAAUAGGGAAACUAUCUAUGUACCUAGGAAGAUUCUUGGGCCAAGUGUGAGAGGGCAGAGAAGAACUGGGGCCUUCCUGGGCACUCACAGAGGUGCUGGUCCAGGCCCAGAUGGAGCAGACAGGUGAAAUAUGGUUCACGUGGAGCUUGAAUCAUCAAGGAAAUAAAUGUAUGUGGUUGCUUCUCCUGACAAUUCUUAAAUUUCUCUCUUAGGAAUCUUUGGCCAUCUAUGAAACAAUUUCCAUGGGAAAAUGACUUGUUUGGACUGUAUUUUCACAAAGCUGAUAUUUCUGGCCCUUAGAAUAUGAUACCUGUUUGUCUAAAAAACAUAUAUCUAUUCAGGUAAGUUGGAAACUGAGAUCUGAUUUGAAAACAUUUUGGGCUGGGCGUGGUGGCUCACGCCUGUAAUCCCAGCACUUUGGGAGGCCGAGGUGGGCAGAUCACGAGGUCAGGAGAUCAAGACCAUCCUGGCAAACAUGGUGAAACCCCGUCUCUACUAAAAAUACAAAAAAAAAAAUUAGCCGGGCGUGGUGGCGGGCGCCUGUAGUUCCAGCUACUCGGGAGGCUGAGGCAAGAGAAUGGUAUUAACCCGGGAGGCGGAGCUUGCAGUGAGCCGAGAAUGAGCCACUGCACUGUAGCCUGGGCGACAGUGUAAGACUCUGUCAAAAAAAAAAAUUUUUUUUUUUAAAUAAUAAAUUAAAAAAAAUAAAAAAGAAAAUAUUUUGAACUUACAAAGAUGUAUAUGAAUUCAAAGUAAAAACCCUUGACCCUUUAAACAAUCACAGCAGCGCCCACCGCUGCCCCCUUUUUUUUUGAGAUGGAGACUCACUCUUUCCCCCAGGCUGGAGUGCAGAGGUGCAGUCUCGGCUCACUGCAACCUCCACCUCCCAGAUUCAAGCGAUUCUCCUACCUCAGCCUCCUGAGUAGCUGGGAUUACAGGUGCCUGCCACCACGCCCAGGUAAUUUUUGUAUUUUUAGUAGAGAUGGGGUUUUGCCAUGUUGGCCAGGCUGAUCUUGAACUCCUUACCUCAGGAGAUCUGCCUGCCUUGGCCUCCCAAAGUGCUGGGAUUACAGGCAUGAGUCACCAUGCCUGGCCCACAGCAGCCCUUUGAGGCUGUUGAAUAUCUGUGAGAAGAUGAACUGGAUCUUAGAUCUACAACCAUACUGUGCACUGCUGCGUGGCUGGGAGGGAAGUAGGAGUUGGAGGGGAACUGGAGGUUUGACCUAAUUUCAGGAUUCUGUCUCUCCCUUAUGGGGCUAAAAUAAAGAAUGCAGAAUUUGAGUAAAGUCUCUAUUUGCUUUCUAUAUACUUUGCUACAUUUCUUUUUCUACAUUACUUUCUCCUUUUCUAUUGAGAUGUGUUGUGAAGUGUAUCUUUCCUGCCUUAUUUGAUCUACCUUUCUAUGGCUGUUCUCUGCCCUCUGUUGGCAGGUUCUCUUGGACCUGUCCGUCUGUGUGCAGGGGACAAUUGCAUGGAGUCAAAGCCCAUUUCUGCUAGUCAGGUCAGCAGAGAAGAUAUUUUGUUUUCUGGAAUUCUGUAGGCCUGGGAGGCAUGAUCUGGUGUAGAACAAACCUGAGGAUCCAGAUUCAGCUGCACAAAUAGAUAGGACAAAAUUCCUUUUCACUGCAGUAUUGGGAGCCUGGAACUAGAGUUACCAACCCCUCUGCGUUAAAGAAGGAGCUGUCCUGAGGCUUCCAUCUCUACUGGGCUUGAGGCAAGAACAUUGUUAGGGACGGCCUGCUCUUGGCCUCUGUGCCCCAGGGAUUGCAAAUGCAUGUUCCUCAAAGGUAAGGGCUGUAUCAUUCGGCUUUCUUUGUAUUCACAGGUACAGCUUGUGCUAGGCAGCCGG